GUGCUAAGCUUUGGCAGCAUAUAUACUAAAACUGGAACAAUACAGAGAUUAACAUGGCCCCUGUGCAAAGAUGACAUGCAAAAUCAUGAAGCACCCCGUGUUAAA
rnacentral:snRNA from 1 species